UUUCUGUGAUGAUAAACUUGUCAGUUCUGCUACUGAAUGGAAGUGGUGACAUUUAAAGCCUCUGAGAAA
rnacentral:snoRNA from 1 species